rnacentral:rRNA from 1 species
UACGUAGGUGGCGAGCGUUGUCCGGAUUUACUGGGCGUAAAGGGCGCGCAGGCGGUCGUACAAGUCGCGUGUGAAAGCCCCCGGCUCAACUGGGGAGGGUCACGCGAUACUGUUCGACUCGAAGGCAGGAGAGGGUAGUGGAAUUCCCGGUGUAGUGGUGAAAUGCGUAGAUAUCGGGAGGAACACCAGUGGCGAAGGCGACUACCUGGCCUGUUCUUGACGCUGAGGCGCGAAAGCUAGGGUAGCAAACGGG